CGCUAAAUAUACGAAACCCUAAAAGCGGUUGAGUUGUGUUGUUUCACGACGUCGUCAGAACUGAAUUUAAUUUGACCGUUCACAAUUUCUAUUUUAACGUAUGCUUGAAACAAAUCCAAUUAUUUCCUACGAACGAAUUCUUACAAUUUUAACAAUCUCGAAAGUAAACGUUGUAUGUGGAACCGGUCAACCUGCACGAAACCUCGAUCAGGAGUCAGGCAAGAGUUAAAGUAUCGGCAAGGCGUUAGUAUCGGAGGAAGAACCACAGCGAUUAGCUCAGCCAUUCGCGCAGCUUUUAUAGCUUAAAGCGCCGGGAAUUAUUGCAACAGUGAAAAAUUCGAUCAACGAUUCACGGAGAAAAGCGUUUUACGGAUUCCUGUGCAGCGCGUCGCAUCGAAAAUAAGAACCCGUCCAUCGAUUAUCGGAUUAUCGGGACGUGAAAAGAAAAAAAAAAGUUCAAAGUUGAACGAUGGAAUCGGCGAAACAUUGACCUGAACAUAACGGAAGAAUAAAGGCAAGUGUUCUAUUAUAUUAGAAAGGAAAAGAUGCCGUACGCACUGGGAUCUUUCGUGAUGUGAAAUGCAUGUAGCGCCGCCGUUAGGACUUGUUCCGUGGUGGCUUGCCGGGGCACGGAGAUCACGCGAAAUAUCCGUCGGGUGAGGGAAUUGUUGCCGUCGUAGACCUUGAUCAUCUCUGCAGAAAUCGAUGGAAUCUCUCGGUAAAAGGUCGACCGUAAAGGGUUGGCCGCAUAAAACGUAUUGAAAUACCUUCGUCACCUCUAUCUUUGUCUUCUUUUUCUUUCGGUGAACGAGGAUCGCGGGUGUGCUGCACGCCGCUCGGCCCCGGGUCCCCAUUGUCCCGACACCUCGCGUCCCCGCUGCUGAACUCUUCCGAUAUGCUUCGCGCUGGAAAAACACAGAGAACAUCGGAUUUUCUAUCAACGAAUCGUUGUUCGAUUCCCGAGAUAUCGCGGAUCGCACCCUAGGCUCAAGAACAACACACACCAGAGAAAUAAACAACUUGGGAAUAUCAAUGUUGAAUACGUCUCUUGAUUCCUCAACUACCGUUAUCAAAACGAAAGAAAGAAAAAAAAGAAAAGAAUAAAAAAAACGAUGCAAUUAUAUUUAAUACGCUUGGCAAUCAUUACUCAGAUAACAUUAAUGGUGUACGAGAUGAAAGCAUCUAUGUAUAUAAUAGCUAAGAGAUACUUUCCAGUCAAGUUCUUUACGGGAUUACUGAAUACAGGGCUAUAGCCCGACCAACGAAUCGAAUCGGUGAAUGUAAACAGAAAGCCUGCGUUACGUUCACGCGAGCGGCGCCAGCGGUCGAAGCUAUUGGCUGCGGAGCGCCGAGCUCAGGGCCAACUUUUGCUGGUCCUUUGUCUCGAGGGCCUUGCUUGCAAAGCUUGCCGGAAAGCUGUAACAUAUUAGGAUUUGGUACGUAGCGAGCCGACUCUGCGUUGACCACGCAAACUUCUGUGCAUUUACGGACUCGUUUCGUUGGACGGGCUACGGCACAAUAGAAAAUGUGACUGGCUGAACCUUUAACCGAUGAUGCUAUGAUACUAUUGUUAAAGCGCUAACGUAUUAAACGGUGGUGAUUGUCAUGAUCGAAACGGGCACGGUGUCGGUGGAAGUUACGUGUGAGAUGGUCUGAAAGAUCAAUGCAUAAUUGUGCUGAUGGUGCGAGGAUGUAGCUCUUAACCGAGAUAUGACAUAACCUUAACGGAUGACGAAACUUUAUUUACUGUGAAAGUUCUGAUUGAAGAUAUUCAAAGACCGAAAUUCUUCUCGGACAGUUGAUAAUACAAAUAUGUAGUCCUUGUUGCGUGGAUUUUUAGUUUAGCGUAUUCAAUUUUACGAAUCUCUGACACUGUGUGUCUAAUCAGAAGAUUCCAACGUGACUUAAUAAAUGCCAUACAUUCGAUGAA